rnacentral:rRNA from 1 species
GGUGAACGCUGGCGGCGUGCUUAAGACAUGCAAGUCGAACGGCAGUCUUCGGACUGUAGUGGCGCACGGGUGAGUAACGCGUAACUGACCUACCCCAAAGUCGCGGAUAACGAUUCUAUAGAAUCGCUAAUACGUGAUGUGCUGUCAGAUUGUGUUCUGCCAGUAAAGAUUGAUUGCUUUGGGAUGGGGUUGCGUUCCAUCAGCUAGUUGGUGGGGUAAAGGCCCACCAAGGCGACGACGGCUAGCCGGCCUGAGAGGGUGGCCGGCCACAGGGGCACUGAGACACGGGUCCCACUCCUACGGGAGGCAGCAGUUAGGAAUCUUCCACAAUGGGCGAAAGCCUGGUGGAGCGACGCCGCGUGAGGGAUGAAGGUCUUCGGAUCGUAAACCUCUGAAUCAGGGACGAAAGACACUUCGGUGGGAUGACGGUACCUGAGUAAUAGCACCGGCUAACUCCGUGCCAGCCGCCGCCGUAAAAC